rnacentral:lncRNA from 1 species
AGUAAAUUAACACAAAAAGUGGAUAAUUUUUAAAGUUUUGAUUUGAGUAGGUAAAUUUUAAGUUUACUAAAAAAAUGGCUACUUUCAUAUAUUGACUCUUUUUAAUUUUUAUGUUAAUUUAUAAAUUAUUUUAAUUUAAAUAACAUUAAAGAUUACAUUUAUUUUAAAAACUGAAAAUUUCAUUAAUUAAAAACACUGAAAAUUUAAAAAAA